UACGGGGGGGGCAAGCGUUGUUCGGAAUUACUGGGCGUAAAGGGCUCGUAGGUGGCCAACUAAGUCAGACGUGAAAUCCCUCGGCUUAACCGGGGAACUGCGUCUGAUACUGGAUGGCUUGAGGUUGGGAGAGGGACGCGGAAUUCCAGGUGUAGCGGUGAAAUGCGUAGAUAUCUGGAGGAACACCGGUGGCGAAGGCGGCGUCCUGGACCAAUUCUGACACUGAGGAGCGAAAGCAUGGGGAGCGAACAGG
rnacentral:rRNA from 1 species